rnacentral:rRNA from 1 species
CCAUACGACCGUACCGCAAACCGACACUGGUGCGCGAGAUGAGUAUUCUAAGGCGCUUGAGAGAACUCAGGAGAAGGAACUCGGCAAAUUGACACCGUAACUUCGGAAGAAGGUGUGCCCUAUUAGUGUGUAGUGAACAACGAAGCAUGAAUGGGUUGCAAAAAAUCGGUGGCUGCGACUGUUUAUUAAAAACACAGCACUCUGCAAACACGAAAGUGGACGUAUAGGGUGUGACGCCUGCCCGGUGCUGGAAGAUUAAAUGAUGGGGUGCAAGCUCUUGAUUGAAGUCCCAGUAAACGGCGGCCGUAACAAUAACGAUCCUAAGGUAGCGAAAUUCCUUGUCGGGUAAGUUCCGACCUGCACGAAUGGCGUAACGAUGGCCACACUGUCUCCUCCUGAGACUCAGCGAAGUUGAAAUGUUUGUGAUGAUGCAAUCUCCCCGCGGAAAGACGGAAAGACCCCAUGAACCUUUACUGUAGCUUUGUAUUGGACUUUGAACAGAUCUGUGUAGGAUAGGUGGGAGGCUUUGAAGCAGGGUCGCUAGAUCUUGUGGAGCCAACGUUGAAAUACCACCCUGGUGUGUUUGAGGUUCUAACCUAGGUCCAUUAUCUGGAUCGGGGACAGUGCAUGGUAGGCAGUUUGACUGGGGCGGUCUCCUCCCAAAGCGUAACGGAGGAGUUCGAAGGUACGCUAGUUACGGUCGGACAUCGUGACGAUAGUGCAAUGGCAUAAGCGUGCUUAACUGCGAGACUGACAAGUCGAGCAGAUGCGAAAGCAGGACAUAGUGAUCCGGUGGUUCUGUAUGGAAGGGCCAUCGCUCAACGGAUAAAAGGUACUCUGGGGAUAACAGGCUGAUACCGCCCAAGAGUUCAUAUCGACGGCGGUGUUUGGCACCUCGAUGUCGGCUCAUCUCAUCCUGGGGCUGUAGCCGGUCCCAAGGGUAUGGCUGUUCGCCAUUUAAAGAGGUACGUGAGCUGGGUUUAAAACGUCGUGAGACAGUUUGGUCCCUAUCUUCCGUGGGCGCUGCAGAUUUGAGGAAGCCUGCUCCUAGUACGAGAGGACCGGAGUGGACACACCUCUGGUGUAUCGGUUGUCACGCCAGUGGCAUUGCCGAGUAGCUAAGUGUGGAAGAGAUAACCGCUGAAAGCAUCUAAGCGGGAAACUCGUUUCAAGAUGAGAUCUGCCGGGGCCUUGAGCCCCCUAAAGAGUCGUUCAAGACCAGGACGUUGAUAGGUCAGGUGUGGAAGCCAA